rnacentral:ncRNA from 1 species
UCUGUUAAAAGGCAAAAUACCCGAAAGGGUGUGACGCAAAGCCAUGGGUCUAAAGCAGGGAUUGCCAGGAUUGCCAGGCUGCCGGA